ensembl:rRNA 5S_rRNA 5S ribosomal RNA
CGAUACGGCCAUACCACCCUGAGCGCGCCCGAUCUCGUCUGAUCUCGGAAGCUAAGCAGGGUCGGGCCUGGUUAGUACUUGGAUGGGAGACCGCCUGGGAAUACCAGGUGCUGUAAGCU